GGGUUGUGAGGUUAAGCGACUAAGCGUACACGGUGGAUGCCCUGGCAGUCAGAGGCGAUGAAGGACGUGCUAAUCUGCGAAAAGCGUCGGUAAGGUGAUAUGAACCGUUACAGCCGGCGAUGUCCGAAUGGGGAAACCCAGUGCAAUUCGUUGCACUAUCGUUAACUGAAUACAUAGGUUAACGAGGCGAACCGGGGGAACUGAAACAUCUAAGUACCCCGAGGAAAAGAAAUCAACCGAGAUUCCCCCAGUAGCGGCGAGCGAACGGGGAGCAGCCCAGAGUCUGAAUCAGCUUGUGUGUUAGUGGAACGGUCUGGAAAGUCCGACGGUACAGGGUGAUAGUCCCGUACACCAAAAUGCACAGGUUGUGAACUCGAAGAGUAGGGCGGGACACGUGGUAUCCUGUCUGAAUAUGGGGGGACCAUCCUCCAAGGCUAAAUACUCCUGACUGACCGAUAGUGAACCAGUACCGUGAGGGAAAGGCGAAAAGAACCCCGGCGAGGGGAGUGAAAAAGAACCUGAAACCGUGUACGUACAAGCAGUGGGAGCACCUUCGGGUGUGACUGCGUACCUUUUGUAUAAUGGGUCAGCGACUUAUAUUCUGUAGCAAGGUUAACCGUAUAGGGGAGCCGCAGGGAAACCGAGUCUUAACUGGGCGUUAAGUUGCAGGGUAUAGACCCGAAACCCGGUGAUCUAGCCAUGGGCAGGUUGAAGGUUGGGUAACACUAACUGGAGGACCGAACCGACUAAUGUUGAAAAAUUAGCGGAUGACUUGUGGCUGGGGGUGAAAGGCCAAUCAAACCGGGAGAUAGCUGGUUCUCCCCGAAAGCUAUUUAGGUAGCGCCUCGUGAACUCAUCUUCGGGGGUAGAGCACUGUUUCGGCUAGGGGGUCAUCCCGACUUACCAACCCGAUGCAAACUACGAAUACCGAAGAAUGUUAUCACGGGAGACACACGGCGGGUGCUAACGUCCGUCGUGAAGAGGGAAACAACCCAGACCGCCAGCUAAGGUCCCAAAGUCAUGGUUAAGUGGGAAACGAUGUGGGAAGGCACAGACAGCCAGGAUGUUGGCUUAGAAGCAGCCAUCAUUUAAAGAAAGCGUAAUAGCUCACUGGUCGAGUCGGCCUGCGCGGAAGAUGUAACGGGGCUAAACCAUGCACCGAAGCUGCGGCAGCGACACUAUGUGUUGUUGGGUAGGGGAGCGUUCUGUAAGCCUGCGAAGGUGUGCUGUGAGGCAUGCUGGAGGUAUCAGAAGUGCGAAUGCUGACAUAAGUAACGAUAAAGCGGGUGAAAAGCCCGCUCGCCGGAAGACCAAGGGUUCCUGUCCAACGUUAAUCGGGGCAGGGUGAGUCGACCCCUAAGGCGAGGCCGAAAGGCGUAGUCGAUGGGAAACAGGUUAAUAUUCCUGUACUUGGUGUUACUGCGAAGGGGGGACGGAGAAGGCUAUGUUAGCCGGGCGACGGUUGUCCCGGUUUAAGCAUGUAGGCUGGUUAUCCAGGCAAAUCCGGAUAAUCAAGGCUGAGGUGUGAUGACGAGGCACUACGGUGCUGAAGUAACAAAUGCCCUGCUUCCAGGAAAAGCCUCUAAGCAUCAGGUAACAUCAAAUCGUACCCCAAACCGACACAGGUGGUCAGGUAGAGAAUACCAAGGCGCUUGAGAGAACUCGGGUGAAGGAACUAGGCAAAAUGGUGCCGUAACUUCGGGAGAAGGCACGCUGGUGUGUAGGUGAAGUCCCUGCGGAUGGAGCUGAGACCAGUCGAAGAUACCAGCUGGCUGCAACUGUUUAUUAAAAACACAGCACUGUGCAAACACGAAAGUGGACGUAUACGGUGUGACGCCUGCCCGGUGCCGGAAGGUUAAUUGAUGGGGUUAUCCGUAAGGAGAAGCUCUUGAUCGAAGCCCCGGUAAACGGCGGCCGUAACUAUAACGGUCCUAAGGUAGCGAAAUUCCUUGUCGGGUAAGUUCCGACCUGCACGAAUGGCGUAAUGAUGGCCAGGCUGUCUCCACCCGAGACUCAGUGAAAUUGAACUCGCUGUGAAGAUGCAGUGUACCCGCGGCAAGACGGAAAGACCCCGUGAACCUUUACUAUAGCUUGACACUGAACAUUGAGCCUUGAUGUGUAGGAUAGGUGGGAGGCUUUGAAGCGUGGACGCCAGUCUGCGUGGAGCCAACCUUGAAAUACCACCCUUUAAUGUUUGAUGUUCUAACGUUGGCCCCUGACCGGGGUUGCGGACAGUGUCUGGUGGGUAGUUUGACUGGGGCGGUCUCCUCCCAAAGCGUAACGGAGGAGCACGAAGGUUAGCUAAUCCCUGGUCGGACAUCAGGAGGUUAGUGCAAUGGCAUAAGCUAGCUUGACUGCGAGCGUGACGGCGCGAGCAGGUGCGAAAGCAGGUCAUAGUGAUCCGGUGGUUCUGAAUGGAAGGGCCAUCGCUCAACGGAUAAAAGGUACUCCGGGGAUAACAGGCUGAUACCGCCCAAGAGUUCAUAUCGACGGCGGUGUUUGGCACCUCGAUGUCGGCUCAUCACAUCCUGGGGCUGAAGUAGGUCCCAAGGGUAUGGCUGUUCGCCAUUUAAAGUGGUACGCGAGCUGGGUUUAGAACGUCGUGAGACAGUUCGGUCCCUAUCUGCCGUGGGCGCUGGAGAAUUGAGGGGGGCUGCUCCUAGUACGAGAGGACCGGAGUGGACGCAUCACUGGUGUUCGGGUUGUCAUGCCAAUGGCACUGCCCGGUAGCUAAAUGCGGAAGAGAUAAGUGCUGAAAGCAUCUAAGCACGAAACUUGCCCCGAGAUGAGUUCUCCCUGAGACUAUAAGUCUCCUGAAGGAACGUUGAAGACGACGACGUUGAUAGGCCGGGUGUGUAAGCGCAGCGAUGCGUUGAGCUAACCGGUACUAAUGAACCGUGAGGCUUAACCUUACAACGCCGAAG
rnacentral:rRNA from 1 species